CCCCGGAUAGCUCAGCCAGUAGAAGAAGAGGCUCUUAACCUCUGGGUUGUGGGUUUGAGCCCUGUGUUGGGGA